CGCGGGUCCAAGCCUGUAGCCCCAAAUCGGAUAAUCUCUACAGCUGAUAACAAGCAAAAGAGAAGCCAGGCAACAGCCAUAUUAAAGAAGAAAACAGUCAACUCUGAGG
ensembl:misc_RNA